GAUGAACGCUAGCGGCAGGCUUAACACAUGCAAGUCGAGGGGUAGAGGCUUUCGGGCCUUGAGACCGGCGCACGGGUGCGUAACGCGUAUGCAAUCUGCCUUGUACUGGGGGAUAGCCCAGAGAAGUUUGGAUUAAUACCCCAUAGUAUUUUCGGUUGGCAUCAACUGAUUAUUAAAGUUUUUCGGUACAAGAUGAGCAUGCGUCCCAUUAGCUAGUUGGUAUGGUAACGGCAUACCAAGGCUACGAUGGGUAGGGGUCCUGAGAGGGAGAUCCCCCACACUGGUACUGAGACACGGACCAGACUCCUACGGGAGGCAGCAGUGAGGAAUAUUGGUCAAUGGUCGCAAGACUGAACCAGCCAUGCCGCGUGCAGGAUGAAGCAUCUAUGGUGUGUAAACUGCUUUUGUACGGGAAGAAACACUGCUACGUGUAGCAGCUUGACGGUACCGUAAGAAUAAGGAUCGGCUAACUCCGUGCCAGCCGCCGCUGUAAAAC
rnacentral:rRNA from 1 species